rnacentral:lncRNA from 1 species
CACAGCCUUUUCAAUUCCACUCGGCUCAGCGUCCGCUGGCUUUUCAGUAAGUUCUGGAGACCUAUGAGGCCCUCCUUCCUUUCAGACCAGUUGGAGCUGGCACAGUGGUUCAGGACCUCAGCCACAUCUUCGGUCUGCCGCAGAUAGUGUGGAAUGCCUCCAUUCCUGGAACCAUAGGAGCGCUCUGAGCAAGCACUUGAUGCGUCACUGUUAGCGUCAUCAUCAGAGUACAUCCCAUAGGGUUCAUAUCUUCUUCUCACUGGCUUUUUCAGUGCAUCAGCCACAGCGGCCUCCAGAUCUGUGCUUGUGCUCAGGACUCGCAUGGCAUUCAC